CACACAGUGACAAGCGCAGAGAAAGAAUUAGCCGGGAAAGGAGCUCAUAUAUUGGCUGUCCGAAAUAAUAAGCAUGCUCGAGUAAAAAUAAAAAUAAAAACGCGUUUCGCAACCAACUGAAUCUACAAAACACGAAAUUCCAUCAACCCGUUCGACCGCGUACUGACUGAUCAUUUACUCGCUGAUAAUGUCGAUAGAGUAGUGCAUUGUGCCUUCAGCAACACCAGGCACCGGCUCCGUGCAAGCAUGCGGCGGAGGUCGCAUCUGUUCAGGUGAAAGCAGGAUGGAAUUCGUCCGGAACCAACGGAAUGAGAGAGCUAGGAAACGCUGUUUUAUUCCGGGUCUUUUUCGAUGAAUACCUCGUAGUGUUGGAAUUGCGGAAUCUAUGCAAUAUUGCAAAUAAAAGCAAUAUUCAGGUUUAAAAAAUACAUAUAGAUGAAAUAACAGGAUUAAUUGAAGAAGUAACUGCAGCUGGACCCUGUAAUGCAAGGGCAGACUGCCUUCUCUGGACAUCUCAGCCACCCCCUUUCAGAACUGACUGAUGCUGCAGUGUAGGUGUGGGUCUGAAUUCAGGGGGUGAAAAUGGUGCAGAAAUAUCAGUCUCCGGUGCGAGUGUACAAGUACUCCUUUGAAAUGGUGAUGGCGGCCUACGAGAAGCGCUUUCCUACCUGCCCUCUCAUCCCAGUCUUCCUGGGCAGUGAGGUUCUCAGCGAGUUCAAGAGCGAUGAUGGCUCCAUUCACAUCCUAGAGAGGAGCUGUAAGCUAAAUGUUGAUGCGCCACGACUUCUUAAAAAGAUUGCAGGUGUGGAGUAUGUCUACUUCAUACAGAAAAACACGCUCAAUUGGAAAGACAGGACUCUUCUCAUUGAGGCACAUAAUGAGACCUUCGCCAGCAGAGUGACUGUCAUUGAGACCUGCAGUUACAGCGUUCACCCCGAAAAUGAAGACUGGACAUGCUUUGAGCAGUCUGCCUCCUUGGAUAUCAAAUCAUUCUUUGGUUUUGAAAAUACUGUGGAGAAAAUUGCAAUGAAACAAUACACAGCCAACAUAAAGCGGGGAAAAGAGGUAAUAGAGCACUAUCUGAAUGAGCUGAUAGCAGAGGGUGUCACCGAGAUUCCCCGCUGGGUCCAACUCGAGAAGAGAGUCCAGGCGAUGGCCACAGUCCAGUCCAGUACCUCCACACAGCCCUCCUUAGGAGACUCCAGACUGGAGCUGGAUGUUCUCACUCACAGCAGCACCAAAGAGCCCAGUUGUAACCUCAGCAGCAGCGCUACUGAGCCAACAACACCAGACGCAGACAAAUUAGAUGCUGAUUACAUUGAACGCUACCUUGGACAGUUGACACCUAUGCAAGAAAGUUGUUUAAUCCAGCUGAGACAGUGGCUACAGGAGACCCAUAAAGGAAAGUCAGAAGCUGGUGAAUGGAAACCAGAAAAGAUCCCCAAAGACGAGCACAUUCUGCGUUUCCUGCGGGCCCGGGACUUCAACAUGGACAAGGCCCGAGAGAUGCUGUGCCAGUCGCUCACCUGGCGGAAGCAGUUCCAGGUGGACUACAUUUUGGAAACCUGGAGGCCCCCGGCCUUCCUCGAAGAGUACUACGCCGGGGGGUGGCACUUCCACGACCGCAAUGGGCGCCCCUUGUACAUCCUGCGCCUGGGGCAGAUGGACACCAAGGGGCUGGUGAAGGCCAUGGGAGAGGAGGCCCUGCUCAGGCAUGUGCUGUCAAUCAAUGAAGAAGGACAAAGAAGAUGUGAAGAAAACACCAAAAUAUUUGGCAGGCCCAUCACAUCAUGGACCUGCCUAGUCGAUUUGGAAGGACUCAACAUGAGACAUCUGUGGAGACCAGGGGUUAAAGCUCUCCUGCGAAUAAUUGAAGUCGUAGAAGCCAAUUACCCAGAAACUCUGGGAAGGCUUCUGAUUGUCCGUGCACCUAGGGUGUUCCCUGUGCUGUGGACUCUGGUUAGUCCAUUUAUAAAUGAGAACACCAGGCAGAAAUUCCUCAUCUACAGUGGUAAUAACUACCAUGGAGUGGGCGGACUGGUAGACUACAUUGACAGAGAGAUUAUCCCAGACUUCCUUGGGGGAGACUGUCUGUGCAAUGUCCCUGAAGGGGGCCUGGUUCCCAAAUCGUUCUACCAAACAGAAGAGGAACUGGAGACCUCGGAUCAUAUCAGACUGUGGGCAGAGACCAUCUACCAGUCUGGGAACAUUUUCAAAGGAGCGCCCCAUGAAAUUGUUAUUGAGAUCCUGGAAGGCUCUUCAGUGAUUACCUGGGACUUUGACAUUCUCAAAGGAGACCUGGUAUUCAACAUCUUUCAUUCCAAGAGGUCCCCUCAGACAACCAGGAAAGACCCCCCUGUUUCGACACCAGGGGGCAACAGCGUGCAGCUGAUUGAGAAGAGCUGGGUGCUGGGGGUGGACUACAGCAUGGUGGAAUCACCCCUCGUGUGUCGAGAAGGAGAAAGCAUCCAGGGCUCGCACGUCACGCGCUGGCCUGGGUUCUACAUCCUCCAGUGGAAGAUGAAGGGACCCCCCCUGGUGUCGGCCACCACCCUGCCCAGCGUGGAUGACGUCCUGGCCACCUUGCAGGUCUCUUCCCACAAGUGUAAAGUCAUGUACUACACUGAAGUGCUGGCCUCGGAGGACUUCAGAGGGUCGAUGUCCAGCCUCGAAUCCUGUCACAGUGGUUUCUCCCAGCUGAGCGCAGGCACGUCCUCCUCCAGCCAGUCCCAGAGCAGCUCGCUCAUUUCCAGAUAAGGAGGGACCUUUCCUCUGGGAGCAGAGCACUGACUGCUAACAAUGUAGGACUUUACUGGACUCACUUAUUCCAGUUGGGUUCAGAUGGGAACACGCUGGCCAGUCGCAAGCAGCAGUCCACUGAGGGCUCGUAAAAGACAGUGGAGGCGGUGCUGGGCUGCAGCUGCUCCUUGUUACUCAGGUAACAAAACUAAUCUAAGGAGGAAGGGCAACUGUGUGAUGUACCAGACCACAAUUAAACCAAAAUUACUAAAAGAUGUACUCUAGUCACUGCAGGUUGGAGGUGCCUGGGCAGGCUUAUAGUAGGAUUGCAGGGCAUUUUCAGGAUUCAUGCCAGUUAAGCUACUCCACACCUUUGAAAUAGGAAACCAGCCUGCAGCAGCUGCCACACCUGAGGUGGAACAGGCCCAUUCCAGCCAGGAGACCCCGUCAUCUCCCAGCUUGGCACCUUGGUUGCUGUACUGUAGCAGCACUGACAAGCCCUUGGUCUUGUUAAUACUAAAGGGCUUCUGCAGCUGUACCUCUCAAGAGAUUUAAUCUGUGCACUACAGGUGUGACAACUGCAGAACCCAAGCUCCUUGGGUCUAACCAGUACAGAUCUCCAACUUUCCAGUAGUCAGGUUAAGACAUCCAGUUUUCCCUCCAGGUAACGAGGGCCUGAGAAAUGCUACCUAGGAAGGUAAUGUUUGCAAUUACUGUCCUACCACAGAUCAAUAAAGCAUUGAAGAUGAUCCAUUGGGACCACAGCACAGUUCAAAGUUAAAGGCUGCACACAAGACUUGCAGUGACACCUUGACUUUAUUGUACAGACAUGAGACAGAUGUUACAAGAGCAGGCUCAAGGACAUGACAGAAGGUCAGAGGAGCCCCAUAAAAAACACAGAUCUUGGUUCCACGUCACAGAUGCAGUGCUGAGGCUCUCCCCUUCCUGUUGGCAGAAGAAAAGUGGGGGGGGGGGGGACCCAAGAGCACACCUCUUGUGACCAUACCAGGUCAAUAACACUCCUACCCAGGCCAGUCACACAUUGGACUCCCAUGCUUGGGAAACAUGAGCCUUCAUCAAGAUGACCACACCACUCAGACUUGUCCAUUGGAGAUACUGCUCAGGGUUUCCAUUUCCCAAAGAAAUGGAACUGGGCUCUCCCUGGUAUACAGCUUUCCUUGUGCCGUGACCAUUGGAAUGGGGAUCUGGUGACAAGGAGCAGAUUCCACAACAGCAUGCUGCCAAGAUACAUCAAUGCAAGGUACUGUACAUACCCAUGAAGACUCAAUUGUGUCAAGAGCAUCAGUUCCGUGCUGAAGGACAUGCUGCCUCCACAGUAAGUACAGAAGAGCAGCCAGUUCACCUACAUCUACUACAAGUCUCCAAAAUACAAAAAUUAACAAUGUUGACAAGCUCAGCUUGUUUUUGCAUGCAACACCCUGAACAUCUACAUUCGAUAGCACUGACCAGGAGGUCUGCAACAGCGGUUUACUCCACAGCUUCAGCUCACCCAUGAGCCGACAUACACCCUUUACACAGUAUCCCAGCACAUGUAGCUCCCCCUACUGGACAGCAUCACUUACUGCAUUUCCAAGUCCCAUAGAGGAUCAACUGGCUUCAAAAACAGUGUGCUAGUUGAGUUUUCCAAGCCAUUGACAUCUUACUAUUCUCACCAAACAUAUCCUAGUAUUCCAGAGCCACAGGAGCAUGGGGGCAAACACUAUACAGAAUACUUCUCAUGUUCCUCUCCAAUACAAAGCACAAUCUAAAUGCUUUCCUCCCAGACUUCACUUUUAUAAGCCUCUUCAUUAAUUACGGGGGCUGAGCUCAUUCCAUGGGAACCUAUCCCAAAGGCCCUAAAUCCUCAUGUGGAAUGCCCAGGUGUGUCCAGCUCAAUAACGCACACCUGCUUCCAGAUCCCUGCCUGCACAGAAGCCAUCUUGGCUCAGAGAAACACCACAGCCUGGGCUUGAGCCAAAAUGUGAGGUUUUUACCAUGUGCUCUUUCUAAACCUAUUAGCAUACCAUGAUCUAUUUCAGACGUAGAUUAAGAGAGAAAGAUAAUGAUUUGAUUAUCUUUUAUACAGUACAUACUCCAUCAUACAUCUACAGAUUUAUAAUUUUAACUCUUACAUCACUUCACCGCCUAAUAUUAUUUCUCUUCCUGUCAGUACAUUUGUCAAUGCCUGCUAUGAUGGAAUGGUGUUCUCAGUUGAUGACAGCACUGUUGACUCUCUCAAAGGAGAUCUGCUUGCUUUUCCCAGUUGCUUGUUGUUGCGAAAAUCCUUUUGUCCUUUGCUGCCUUUACCAUACCCUCUCCUGACCUGACAGUGGGUACAAUAAGGGCCCUGGGUAAGCUGAUCUGAUCUCCUCUUUGCCAUCUCUAGUUCAGUUCCCGGCUGUGUCAGUAUCUGUUCAUGUUGCCACCUAAAUCUCACAUCUGACAGACCUGCUUGACAGAAGGAGAGCUCAUUCUCUAGACUUGCUGGCCUUACACACUGUGUGAAAUUUGGACUUUCUACCAGCCCCUAUGUAUGGAGGCUGGUUACUGUGGGCAGAACUUCAUUAAUUGACCAAAGAAGACAUUUGAUUCUUUGUUCUUCCAUGUUCCCGAUGUCAAUCCUGGUCAAUGAUGGCUUCCUUAUAUCUUUCCUGCAUAUCCAGUUGCCCUGCUUCUUCAUUUUCACUGCUCUAUAUUGCUGGCCCUCCUCAUCCUUCCUCACCUUCCUCUGCUCCAUGACCUGUCAUUUUUUGGGUCAGGGGUUAUACACCGCUGGCCCAGCCUACCCUGGCCCACUGACCCCACUAUAUCACUGUGAUGCAGCCUUUACUCCAACUCCUUCAGUAGCACACUGGCUGUACUCUUGAAACCAGUUCUGAUCACCUUAGUUGCUUUAAACUUUUCUAACACUGAUCACAUCCUUUGCUGUAAUUUGAUAGCUGUGCUGUAGAACCCAAAUGAGCAAAAGCUCUUUGGAAUACUCAUCCAUUAUCUGAGAAAGAUAUUGAUUUUCCUCUCCAGCGUCUCCAUGAUUGACAAAGCCACCUCAUUGACCAGCAGAGGUCAAUGGAGUCUACGAAGAACUCCAUGAUAAUGCCAGGCCUUAAACUUGCCAGGAAGACCACUGCUUUCCAGAGAUGUCAUCAAAAUAUCAGCAUGUAUAAGCAUUUUCUUCACACCUUGCUUAUUGUUGAUGUCAUCUCUGUUGAUGUCUCACCCAAGCUCUUAACUAGUUCUUGCCCACAGUGGGGAUGGUAUCUUCUUAAACCAGAGUCUCUUCUGAACUUUUGAAACUUCUGAAUUUUGCAUUAAUUUGCAUGAGCUAGGUCUAACCAUAGGAAUGCAAGGUCUCCUUGAUUUGGUUUUGCACUUCCUUGCUCUUAUAAACGAUGCUAGCAUGUUCCAGGCAGUCAGACACUCCUGAAACAUCACCCAUUUAAACACAUCUAUCAAUAGAAUUGUUAUUCAUAAUCAGCCUAGUUAGCCUACUUGCCAAAAUUGUGAAACAAAUUCCACCUGCAUUAAGAAGUGAAAUGUUUUUGAAGUGCUUGUGGUUUGUUGAGUUCUGCUCUUUUGGUAUGAAGCACAUGUGUUGUCAUAUGGGGUGUGUU